CGCCGCGUGAGUGAUGAAGGCUUUCGGGUCGUAAAACUCUGUUGUUAGGGAAGAACAAGUACAAGAGUAACUGCUUGUACCUUGACGGUACCUAACCAGAAAGCCACGGCUAACUACGUGCCAGCAGCCGCGGUAAUACGUAGGUGGCAAGCGUUAUCCGGAAUUAUUGGGCGUAAAGCGCGCGCAGGCGGUUUCUUAAGUCUGAUGUGAAAGCCCACGGCUCAACCGUGGAGGGUCAUUGGAAACUGGGGAACUUGAGUGCAGAAGAGAAAAGCGGAAUUCCACGUGUAGCGGUGAAAUGCGUAGAGAUGUGGAGGAACACCAGUGGCGAAGGCGGCUUUUUGGUCUGUAACUGACGCUGAGGCGCGAAAGCGUGGGGAGCAAACAGGAUUAGAUACCCUGGUAGUCCACGCCGUAAACGAUGAGUGCUAAGUGUUAGAGGGUUUCCGCCCUUUAGUGCUGCAGCUAACGCAUUAAGCACUCC
rnacentral:rRNA from 2 species